rnacentral:rRNA from 1 species
AUUGAACGCUGGCGGCAUGCUUUACACAUGCAAGUCGAACGGUAACAGGCCGCAAGGUGCUGACGAGUGGCGAACGGGUGAGUAAUGCAUCGGAACGUGCCCAGUCGUGGGGGAUAACGCAGCGAAAGCUGUGCUAAUACCGCAUACGAUCUAUGGAUGAAAGCGGGGGACCGUAAGGCCUCGCGCGAUUGGAGCGGCCGAUGUCAGAUUAGGUAGUUGGUGGGGUAAAGGCCUACCAAGCCGACGAUCUGUAGCUGGUCUGAGAGGACGACCAGCCCCACUGGGACUGCGACACGGCCCAGACUCCUACGGGAGGCAGCAGUGGGGAAUUUUGGACAAUGGGCGCAAGCCUGAUCCAGCAAUGCCGCGUGCAGGAAGAAGGCCUUCGGGUUGUAAACUGCUUUUGUACGGAACGAAACGGUCUGGGUUAAUACCCUGGGCUAAUGACGGUACCGUAAGAAUAAGCACCGGCUAACUACGUGCCAGCAGCCGCCGUAAAAC